AUGGACAGCAGCUGUGACAACUCCUUAUCUCCACUACAGAGCAUGUCCCAUAUGCCCGGGUGUUCUCAGGGCACUGGAUUCAGCACCGGGAGAGGCACAGGCUGUAAACGGAAUGAUUCCCCACGUGGUACCAUCUUGUCCAGUGUAAAGAGAGCUAGAGAAAGUAAAAGGGUCCAAGCUUGAGCCUUGACUCCGAUUCUUCCUAUGCGUGACACUUUGGAGAAGUCACUUCACUUCUCUGGGGAUUCGGUUUCCUUAUUUAUAAAAUGAAAGACUUAGAAAGAGGCGGCAAAGAUAGAGCGGAUAGUGCUGGAUUUAGAGGGAGGACCAGCUCAGUUUAAAUUCUGCCUUAAACCCUUGCCCACUGUGAGAUCCUGAGCUAGUCCCUUACCUUCUACGUGCUUCAAUGUCCUUAUCGCACAAUGGAGGCGUAGGCUGGACUCAAUGGCCUCUGAGGUCCCUUCCGGCUCAAAUCCCUGCCCCGACGAAGCUGAUGCCUCCUAAGGUCUUUUCUCCUUCAAAACUGUCUUAUACAAUUAUGCAGACAGCGCAGCUUCGACUCUGGUCCCGGAGUUAAGGUUUGAAGGGGCACACACCAAAGGAACGUGGCAGAGAGAGGGCGACCGGCAGACACCGUGCAAUGGCGUUUUCACAUUCAGGGAUUACACCAGGCUGAAACGGGAACAAAGGCAUGGAGCUGAUACCUGGAUCUAUCCAUGAAUUUAUUUAUUAUUAGGUUAUAUGAAAAAGCAUAUAGAAUUGUCAUUAUUGUUUCAAGCAAUCUGAUGAUAUUGAAGAGACAUUAAGAAAGGAACUUCAAGAAAAGAAGAAAACAAAACAACAUUCAGCCUAAUACAAUACCAAAGGAGUUCAUUAAAGUGUGGGCACACACUCUUGCUUACGCACUCACGUAGGCACACACGCGUGCACACACACACACACACACACAUUCUGUGCAGGAGGAGAGAUUCCACCUUCAAGAAUGAGCUCCUGAAUUAUAAUUCAUUGAUUCUGAAGCCAAUCAUUUGGUAUUUUGACUGCUAGCUUAGGAAUAUUCAUAUUUUCAACUGCAUUUAAAUUUCCCCCUGCCAUUAAAAUCUCUGAGCUCUAUAAUUAGGCUUCUCCUGAUAAAUACGGAUGUACUUUCUGUACAUUAGGAGCAUAGGAGCUCCUCUCG
rnacentral:lncRNA from 1 species